CAACGGAAUCCCAAAAGCAGCUGUCUUCCGCUCGGCACCUCAGCUGCGCUUGGAUUUCGUUCCC
rnacentral:pre_miRNA from 1 species